rnacentral:rRNA from 1 species
CCUACGGGAGGCAGCAGUGAGGAAUAUUGGUCAAUGGACGAGAGUCUGAACCAGCCAAGUAGCGUGAAGGAUGACUGCCCUAUGGGUUGUAAACUUCUUUUAUAUGGGAAUAAAAUGUUCCACGUGUGGGAUUUUGUAUGUACCAUAUGAAUAAGGAUCGGCUAACUCCGUGCCAGCAGCCGCGGUAAUACGGAGGAUCCGAGCGUUAUCCGGAUUUAUUGGGUUUAAAGGGAGCGUAGGUGGUUGGUUAAGUCAGUUGUGAAAGUUUGGGGCUCAACCGGAAAAUUGCAGUUGAAACUGGCAGUCUGGAGUACAGUAGAGGUGGGCGGAAUUCGUGGUGUAGCGGUGAAAUGCUUAGAUAUCACGAAGAACUCCGAUUGCGAAGGCAGCUCACUGGACUGCAACUGACACUGAGGCUCGAAAGUGUGGGUAUCAAACAGGAUUAGAUACCCUUGUAGUC